rfam:Homo sapiens chromosome 1, GRCh38 reference primary assembly.
GCCAGGCAUGGUGGCGCACGCCUGUAAUCCCAGCUACUCGGGAGGCUGAGGCAGGAGAAUUGCUUGAACCCAGGAGGUGGAGGUUGCAGUGAGCUGAGAUCACACCACUGCCCUCCAGCCUGGGUGACAAAGUGAGACUCUGUCUUGG